CUGGAGAUGAUGUAGAACUCACUGAGCUGAGACUAUCACUGAUGGUUUUAGUAUUCAUACUGCCUGAUCCAG